ensembl:lncRNA
ACUGCUUGCUAGGGCACCCAAACGAAAGGAUUUAUCCUAAGCGUCUGCCUUUGGCCAAUGGAAGGAGCUUUGAUGAUGAGUCCUUACUAGCAGAAACCUUGUUUUACUCUUGUCUGCACUCUCAGUGCCCAUCCCAGGGAUUGGCAGUCAGUGGGCUUUGCCUGAGAGCCUUCAAAAGGAACCCUAAACUGAAACAGCUACCUCUCUGUCUUGAGCAUCCCCUGAGUAGACUGUUUGCAUCUGGUGGCUUUGGCAGGCUGGCUGGAGCUGAAGCAGGCCUGAGCUGAGGACCAUCCCUGGGAAGUGCUGUGCCCAAAGCCGUUCUGUGAGAGUGGCUGCAGUUGGAGCAGAAGUGGGCCAGGCACUUAAUGCCAUAACAAACCACUUGUGGAAUCUUCAUUCUUGACCAGAGAUCAAGCCCUGAACCUUUGGAGUGGGAGCACUAGACCCUAGACUACCAGUGACUAACCCUGCUGCUGCUAAGUCACUCAGAGAAGGCGAUGGCACCCCACUCCAGUACUCUUGCCUAGAAAAUCCUACCAGAGAACUAACCCUAGGGAAUAUCAAAUAGUGAGAACUCACACAAAGGAAACCACUUGAAUACAAGACCUGGCCUCACCAACCACCAGUUGCACCCUGUGCAGGACACCUCAUUUAAACAACAAACAAAACAAAAUACAAACCCUGUCAUCAGCAGACAGGAUUACCACCUCACUCAGCC